UAUUUCUUCAAACGCCUCGUUUGUUCUCUGUCUUCGUUCUCUUCGAGCUCUGUCGUUGCUUCCGAGUUCUUGAUAUUUUCUUGACGGAACUUUGUAUGCUCCCUCAAAGAAAAUAGGAAUCAGUGUCAUUUAGUACGCGAGAGGACCACUCUCAGCCACUCCUUGUCGCCUCUCUGCUUUGUCUCCGAGAAAAGAGGGAGCCGCUUCGGAAGGACGGAUAUGGUGGGUAUAAGCAUUGGUUGCAUCAUCAGCUUAGCUUCCAAGGUAGAGGCUAAAAACGAAGGUGGCGAUCAACAAGGAGGGUUUUCUAUAGUUGCAUCGAUGGUGAUCUCUUGCUUUUGCUUGUUUCCUACGCUAUGGUGGCCAUUCUAUCGCAAAUUCUUGAUCCUUGGUGCAGAGAAGUGUCGGUACAAGGAUUCUUUUGAAUUGAUUCGUUUGGUCACAGAUUUUCAUAGCAAGCUCUGCUGCUGCCUAGCUUACAAUGAAGAUGGCAAUUGAUGAGGAGGUUUUUUUCUCUCAUUAGGCCGGUGAUGCUUUGUCUUUCUUCCAGCCCUAUCAUUGAUGUUUGAUCACAGAUUCUUGAUCUCUUGGUCCAGAGGAAAAGAGUCAGUAGGUUGGUUCUUUGGGAUAUGGAGUGUUCAUUUGCCACAUGAUGGAUUUCUGCCCAUUGGCAAGGAAACCUUCUGUCAAUGGCAUAAUUGUAUUGAUAAAGGAACCUGAGGUGGAGUAGAUUAUUUGGUCAUAGUGUGUUGCUAUGAUCGUGCUGUUUGUGCUUCUUAUGGAUGAAGAAGAGAUAAUUGGAUUGGUUGCCAAUAAGUGGCUGAGAAAGUUUAUUCAUUAGUGUUUGAUAAAUCCAGCUAAUCUGUUUGUAAUACUAUGAUCAGCUUAGUGAGUGUGGGAAGUUCUUUAUGGCAAGCUAAGGAGGGCACCGACCACAGCCAGUAAAUCAAUGUGAUAUUUAUUCAGGAUCAAAUGACAAGGAUGAGCUCUGGUAUUUAUUAGCAUCAAUGUCAUCAUGGAAGGUGGCAUCUUUUAUUACAAUAUGCAGUAAGCCAACUCUGUUUUUGACAGAAGACCAUGUCCUUUCCAAAUUGGAUUAGUUCUUCCUGAAUAAUGUCUUUUUAUCUUAUCUAUAUUGAGAUAUUUUUGCAAAAGUGUAUAAUUUGGUAAUUUUAUUCAAAGUUGGUCUUUAUGUUCUUUUAGAACUUCACUCAUGUUUAAGUAUGUACAAAAUUUGCUGCUAUUUUAACUUCGUAUCCAUAAUUUAUAUUCUUCUUUCUGAA